GUGAGGAAUAUUGGUCAAUGGGCGCAGGCCUGAACCAGCCAAGUCGCGUGAGGGAAGACUGCCCUAUGGGUUGUAAACCUCUUUUAUAAGGGAAGAAUAAUGACUACGUGUAGUCAGAUGCCCGUACCUUAUGAAUAAGCAUCGGCUAACUCCGUGCCAGCAGCCGCGGUAAUACGGAGGAUGCGAGCGUUAUCCGGAUUUAUUGGGUUUAAAGGGUGCGUAGGCGGUAUUUUAAGUUAGUGGUAAAACGUCGGGGCUUCACCUUGAUUGGCCAUUAAAACUGGAGUACUAGAGUACAGACGAGGUAGGCGGAAUAAGUUAAGUAGCGGUGAAAUGCUUAGAUAUAACUUAGAACCCCGAUAGCGAAGGCAGCUUACCAGACUGUUACUGACGCUGAAGCACGAGAGCGUGGGUAGCGAACAGG
rnacentral:rRNA from 1 species